rnacentral:rRNA from 1 species
UACGUAGGGCGCAAGCGUUGUCCGGAAUUACUGGGCGUAAAGAGUGUGUAGGCGGUGUUCCAAGUUCGGUGUGAAAUCUCCCGGCUCAACUGGGAGGGUGCGCCGAAUACUGAAUGACUUGGAGUGCGGGAGAGGAAAGUGGAAUUCCUGGUGUAGCGGUGAAAUGCGCAGAUAUCAGGAGGAACACCGGUGGCGAAGGCGGAUCUCUGGGCCGUAACUGACGCUGAGGAGCGAAAGCAUGGGGAGCGAACAGG